UUCUCAUCCAGAGUGGUGGAGGGACUGGCCCGAUGAAACCCGGCAACCGGCCUAUAUGGCAGUGGUGCUAAUUCCAGCAGGAUUAUUCCUGGAAGAUGAGCA
rfam:Desulfitobacterium hafniense Y51 DNA, complete genome.